rnacentral:rRNA from 1 species
AGCGAACGCUGGCGGCAGGCCUAACACAUGCAAGUCGAACGGAUCCUUCGGGAUUAGUGGCGGACGGGUGAGUAACACGUGGGAACGUGCCCUUUGGUUCGGAACAACUCAGGGAAACUUGAGCUAAUACCGGGUGUGCCCUUCGGGGGAAAGAUUUAUCGCCAUUGGAGCGGCCCGCGUCUGAUUAGCUAGUUGGUGAGGUAACGGCCCACCAAGGCGACGAUCAGUAGCUGGUCUGAGAGGAUGAUCAGCCACACUGGGACUGAGACACGGCCCAGACUCCUACGGGAGGCAGCAGUGGGGAAUCUUGCGCAAUGGGCGAAAGCCUGACGCAGCCAUGCCGCGUGAAUGAUGAAGGUCUUAGGAUUGUAAAAUUCUUUCAGCGGGGACGAUAAUGACGGUACCCGCAGAAGAAGCUCCGGCUAACUUCGUG